rnacentral:lncRNA from 1 species
AAAAAAGAAGCAUAACAAGAAUGUGUCCAAAGUACACGGAUGCCCCACUCCCACUAUCAUUUUCCAUGUUCAAUGGACCGUGAAAUUGGAUAAAAAAUAUAAUUAGGCAUUAAAAUUAGAAAGAUAAUAUCAUAGGGAACAUUUGUACUAAGUUUCAAGUUGAUUGGACUUCAACUUCAUCAAAAACUACCUUGACCAAAAACUUUAACCUGAAACAUGCACUUUCAUUUUCUAUGUUCAGUGGACCGUGAAAUUGGGGUCAAAAUUUUAAUUUGGCUUUAAAAUUAGAAAGAUCAUAUCAUAAGGAACAUGUGUACUAAGUUUCAAGUUGAUUGGACUUUAACUUCAUCAAAAACUACCUUGACCAAAAACUUUAACCUGAAGCGGGACAGACGGACGAACGAACAGACGAACGAACGAACAGACGGACGGACGAACGAACGAACAGACGGACGGACGAACGAACGAACGGACGCACAGACCAGAAAACAUAAUGCCCCUCUACUAUCGUAGGUGGGGCAUAAAAAUUAUUC